GCUGCGACUUGGCCGACGAGCCGAGCGAGCACCACAAGUCGUGUCAGUCGAGCUGGAGGCGGCGGACGCGAAGCACCGGUCUCUCGACCUUCGCUCGCUCGCGCUCCUGCCCUUCCUCCUCGGCUUGCCGCCGAACUCCUCUCUCACUCUCUUUCUCUCUCUCUCUUCUCUCUCUCACACACACACACUCAUACACAGUCUUUCCGUGGAGUGGAGCAAACUGGUUUUCAAUCCUUUAUUUUUUCUCUCUCGCUCGCUCAGUCGCUCGCUCGCUCGCCGGUAUGUGGGAGGAUUUUUUACAUUCGCCGUACUCGAUCUCUCGACGAGCAUUACUCACCAGAGCGGCUAGAAUAUCAACCGGCCCCACUUCUUCUUCGACUUCAGUCUGCGAGCUGGUGGCCUGUGAGAAGACUCCGUGCGUCGCCCAAGCAAGCAAGCCGGACUUAAACUGCAUCUCCAGUUCGGCGAUCAAGCUCAGUGCUCCAACGGAUGAGGCGGAUGAGAGGAGGGCAUGCCGCUUGAUGAAUGACCCGCGAGCGACGCUUUCAAAACGCGUUUCGGCUUGUGCGUGAAACAGGAAUGGAAUGAAAACUCGUUUCGCACCGCAUGGCUGUUUCGGAUUCGGCGACGGGAACAAUCGAGCUGCGUCUCCGGCAACAACAAAAGACCUCUCCACACACGACCGUCGUCUCGACCCGCGCUGGCAGCGAAAAUUACAGAUAAUGCGUCUCCAUUGUUAGUUCUAACGAGGCUUUCGCAGUGGCAGAACUGACUGGCUUACACUCUGCAGCCUGCGGGCGGAAGGCGAGUUUGCGAAAGUGGUCUUUAAAUGGAACCCAGUGAAGCGACGUUACGUGAGAGGCGCUCAGAUGCUGGAGAAUAAUGCUGACCGCGGUAACGACUGCUUCUGCUCGACGGAUUUCUGCGAUUUUGCUCGAGCGUAAUUAAUCAGGUUGCAGGUAAUUUCAGGCCUGAGGAAACAAAAGAAAUAAUUUUCCUGCACACCAGCGCAAAAUGCAGAGUUAGAAGCUGAUGAAUAAUUUACCAGGUGCGCUCUCACGGAAUUGAAUUAAAAAUCCAUGGGACGGCGGAGCUGAGCUGCCGCCGCCGCCACUGCCGCCUCCUCUGCCGCUUCUUGCUCGUCGGUAUAAUUAAUUCUGCUGACAAGUCAUGCCAUCUCUCACAUCUUCAUUUCAUAAUCUGCCGCUUUAAUCUGCACACAGGCCGAGAGCCUCCCGGAGACAAAGGAGUUCUUCUUUAUUAUUUAUAAGCCGGGCUGUGCGCUGCGCUGCUCGGUGGAGCAGUUUUUCGCCCUUUGCGAACUUCACCGAAAGUGGAGAGAGAAACUAAAUCACUGAAAAGCGGCUCAGCUUCAAUUUUUUUAUUUGCAGAGCUGUUCAACGCAUCGAAAUUUGAAACCCAUCAAUUCCAGAAUGAGCUUGCUUCUCGAGAGUUGGCCUAAUAAUCCGCAUCUGGCCAAUUUCGCCCGGGUUCCGACUCUGUUUGAUAUUUGCCUCACACUCCUCGUACGCAAAUACACAAGCCAUCAAUUUAACGCCGCUCAAAUUUCACGGCUGAACGUCGAAUGUUUGAGGAGGCUCGUAUCUCGUCCUAAUUUGGGUAUUUGCUUUCAAAAUUUAAUCAAGAGAUGCUAAAACCACCAUUUCCGGUUUUCCUACUGAUUUUCCUGAUUUUAGCAGUGGUAUUUAAAUGGAAUAUUAUUUAAAAAAAAAAAUAGCAAAUGACUCUGCUUUGUGAUAUCUGGGGCUUCAAAUAUUGGAAUUUAGGGCUUGUAAU